GAUGAAGAACGUAGCGAAAUGCGAUAAGUAAUGUGAAUUGCAGAAUUCAGUGAAUCAUCGAAUCUUUGAACGCACCUUGCGCCCUUUGGACAUUCCGAAGGGCAUGCCUGUUUGAGUAUCAUGAACACCUCAACUCUCACGGCUUGUCCGUGAUGAGCUUGGACUUUGGGGGUCUUGCCGGCCUGUGGUCGGCUCCUCUCAAAUGGAUCAGCUUGCCAGUGUUUGGUGGCAUCACAGGUGUGAUAACUAUCUGCGCUUGUGGUUUUCCAUCAGAUAACCUUCAGUGAUAUGGAGGUUCGCUGGAGCUCACAAAUGUCUCUCCUUAGUGAGGACAGCUCUUUGAACGUUUGAUCUCAAAUCAGGUAGGACUACCCGCUGAACUUAAGCAUAUCAAUAAGCGGAGUA
rnacentral:misc_RNA from 1 species